AUCCUACGCUAAGACACAUAACAAUGUUCCCAAAAUAAAAUCCGGGUAGACCUCAUUCAAUAAUAGUCCCGGCUCUACCCUGUCUUUUGUUUCAUUUCUUCUGGAAAGAUCACAAAUACUUUUUCGAUUAUGGAUUUACUACAAGAAAUUCAAUGCCAAUGUUAGCAUUUAAUUUGUAAUCCUGUUUCAAAUAUAUAUGUCAAGCCAAUAAUUGGGAACAAAAUUUCUG
rnacentral:misc_RNA from 1 species